GCAUCAGGUGGAGCACAACAGCUGCGGCUGCUGGCUGCCAGACGAGCUCCAGUGUGCGGCUGCCCCUCGUAGUCCCCGGCGGCGCCGAACAACGACAAAGACAACGACUGCAUCGCCUGCGGCGGCGCCGUGCCGCCGGCAACCAAGGAAGCCAGAUCCGUCGGCAGAAGGCGCUUGAGGAUGGUCCUCUCCGGCGUCAUCAUCACCAGCGACUCCACGUACGGCAGUCACGGCAGAGCGAGGUGAGGACGAAACAUCCAGUCCCUGACGACGGCGGAAGCGAGGACGGCGGUCGCAUCGUCGAGCAGCACACGGCGGGGCCGCGCGAGGGAAGCCGAGAUCUGGUACCACGGCCUGCAGCUUCCGCAACCCGAACGAUGGCUGCACCGUGACGGUGCCCAGGUCCACGCUCCAGUCGCCAUCAAUGAACACCCCCUACAGCAGCGCCGCCACC
rnacentral:lncRNA from 1 species